rnacentral:rRNA from 1 species
CGAAUGCUGACAUAAGUAACGAUAAAGCGGGUGAAAAGCCCGCUCGCCGGAAGACCAAGGGUUCCUGUCCAACGUUAAUCGGGGCAGGGUGAGUCGACCCCUAAGGCGAGGCCGAAAGGCGUAGUCGAUGGGAAACAGGUUAAUAUUCCUGUACUUGGUGUUACUGCGAAGGGGGGACGGAGAAGGCUAUGUUGGCCGGGCGACGGUUGUCCCGGUUUAAGCGUGUAGGCUGGUUUUCCAGGCAAAUCCGGAAAAUCAAGGCUGAGGCGUGAUGACGAGGCACUACGGUGCUGAAGCAACAAAUGCCCUGCUUCCAGGAAAAGCCUCUAAGCAUCAGGUAACAUCAAAUCGUACCCCAAACCGACACAGGUGGUCAGGUAGAGAAUACCAAGGCGCUUGAGAGAACUCGGGUGAAGGAACUAGGCAAAAUGGUGCCGUAACUUCG